CAUGAAUCUUUUCCAAGCCUCAAUCAACAUGAAGACUGCGUCGGAGCCAAUUCGACACGGCAAGGGCGGAAUCAGCAUAAGCCACCAGCGGCGCAGGGGAGGAGUCGCCGCGCGUGGAAGGAACGCCAGUCACUCCUUCCACAUGUCGUGGUGGAAAUCCGCCGAACCCAAUGCCUUGGUUCGCGCAGUCAAAUCCAUGAUCCUCCUCCCUCCAGCUCCACAGAACUCCCCCUCCUCCGCCUAUAGGGUUUCGGCAUCGCCGGCUCUCCAUGUUCGCCUGGAGUCCCGGCGAUCACAUUGUUGCCCUCCUCCGAGAUGCGGAAGAAUUCGUUCGAUGGCGGCGACUAGAAGAUCACAGCUAUUAUGGAGCUGAUGUUGGUGGUGAUGCUUACAUUAUCUCCGAUGCCCACCGAAGGGUAGUGAUGAGGGUAAUAAUGGCGAUAAGACUCGGGUUGACGUCAACUGCCCCAGAUGACGCCUCGCGCCUCUGUUAACCUGACAGCACCUGGUCAACACGGACUGGAACGUCGACCGAGGCACAUUAAUAUCCUGCUCAGACUCGGUCCUUCACGCCACGCCAACGUCGAUGUCAGACGUUACCAGGAGUACGAUCCUGCUCCCUGCAAGCGGGCACAUCAGGCGACGGUAACCUUCACUAUAAAAACCCUCGCGCUCCGAGGAAAGGGUGAGGACAAGAAAAAAACCCCCUGCGACUAUUCAUUAACUUGAUCGUCGGAGGGGUCGAGCUGAGCUCUCCCGACCCGACCUUUGUGCAGAUGCGAAGACGGAGGCCUCCCACCAGACGCCCAGGCGAGGAGCCCCCUCCCGGAGGAAACGGUGACCUCUUCGCGAACGGACCACCGCAGUCGGUCUUCUGCAGUCUCAAGGGUCGUCCCAGGAAGAUCCCCCAUCAUUCGGACCCGAACCAAGCCGCGUCGCCCCCAAGGCCACGGCUUAAAGUUGUUUACACUAACAAGUCAUGUUCGUGUUCCUCUUCAAGCAAAGUCAUGACAUGUAGCAGAUCAGUAACAUCACUACACAAAGAUUCAAAGAUGUAAGAUGCAGAAGACCAGUCAUACCGGUUUGGGAACCUCCGAGUGGCACAAGAGGGAAGGGCUGGCCCAGGUUAUCACCAUGAUUGGAUCAUCGCCUAUGUAGUAGCAGCUUGUUGCAUGGGUACAAAAUUGCAGGAGUUUGAGUGCGGCGGACUGAUCUUGGACCCCUUUUUGUUGCAUGACCAUUCUCAACUUACAAAGUGGCGAAGUCACUGAUAAAGCUUGUGUGAUCCUGAGCUUUUGUGCUCAUCUACUUUCUUUUUCUUGCAACCGCUCAGGCACUAGAUGAGGUUAAAAUUGGGUUGAUUCUGUCGGUUACAACAUCGUACAUCUUAGGCAAAUCAGCUAUGUUUGUGACGAAAUGAUGCAAUUGUAUGAAUUGGUGUGUAUUAUUCUAUAUCAAUGUCACUUCAUUCAUUAG